rnacentral:rRNA from 1 species
CCAGCGAACUUGGCAGAGAUGCCUUGGUGCCUUCGGGAACGCUGAGACAGGUGCUGCAUGGCUGUCGUCAGCUCGUGUUGUGAAAUGUUGGGUUAAGUCCCGCAACGAGCGCAACCCUUAUCCUUUGUUGCCAGCGAUUCGGUCGGGAACUCAAAGGAGACUGCCGGUGAUAAACCGGAGGAAGGUGGGGAUGACGUCAAGUCAUCAUGGCCCUUACGAGUAGGGCUACACACGUGCUACAAUGGCGCAUACAAAGAGAAGCGACCUCGCGAGAGCAAGCGGACCUCAUAAAGUGCGUCGUAGUCCGGAUCGGAGUCUGCAACUCGACUCCGUGAAGUCGGAAUCGCUAGUAAUCGUGGAUCAGAAUGCCACGGUGAAUACGUUCCCGGGCCUUGUACACACCGCCCGUCACACCAUGGGAGUGGGUUGCAAAAGAAGUAGGUAGCUUAACCUUCGGGAGGGCGCUUACCACUUUGUGAUUCAUGACUGGAGUGAAGUCGUAACAAGGUAGGCGUAGCGAG